rnacentral:rRNA from 1 species
CAGGCCUAACACAUGCAAGUCGAACGGGCACCUUCGGGUGUCAGUGGCAGACGGGUGAGUAACACGUGGGAACGUGCCCUUCGGUUCGGAACAACUCAGGGAAACUUGAGCUAAUACCGGAUACGCCCUUACCGGGGAAAGGUUUACUGCCGAAGGAUCGGCCCGCGUCUGAUUAGCUAGUUGGUGAGGUAAUGGCUCACCAAGGCGACGAUCGGUAGCUGGUCUGAGAGGAUGAUCAGCCACACUGGGACUGAGACACGGCCCAGACUCCUACGGGAGGCAGCAGUGGGGAAUAUUGGACAAUGGGCGAAAGCCUGAUCCAGCAAUGCCGCGUGAGUGAUGAAGGCCUUAGGGUUGUAAAGCUCUUUUACCCGGGAUGAUAAUGACAGUACCGGGAGAAUAAGCCCCGGCUAACUCCGUGCCAGCAGCCGCGGUAAU